AUUGAACGCUGGCGGCAUGCCUUACACAUGCAAGUCGAACGGCAGUACGGGUGCUUGCACCUGGUGGCGAGUGGCGAACGGGUGAGUAAUACAUCGGAACGUACCUUAUCGUGGGGGAUAACGCAGCGAAAGCUGUGCUAAUACCGCAUACGCCCUGAGGGGGAAAGCGGGGGAUCGCAAGACCUCGCGCGAUUAGAGCGGCCGAUGCCUGAUUAGCUAGUUGGUGGGGUAAAAGCCCACCAAGGCGACGAUCAGUAGCUGGUCUGAGAGGACGAUCAGCCACACGGGGACUGAGACACGGCCCAGACUCCGACGGGAGGAAGCAGUGGGGAAUUUUGGACAAUGGGGGCAACGCUGAUCAAGCAAUGCCGCGUGAGUGAAGAAGGCCUUCGGGUUGUAAAGCUCUUUUGUCAGGGAAGAAACACCGGCUCUAACACAGUCCGGGAAUGACGGUACCUGAAGAAUAAGCACCGGCUAACUACGUGCCAGCCGCCGCCGUAA
rnacentral:rRNA from 1 species